UACGUAGGGUGCGAGCGUUAAUCGGAAUUACUGGGCGUAAAGCGUGCGCAGGCGGUUAUGCAAGACAGAUGUGAAAUCCCCGGGCUCAACCUGGGAACUGCAUUUGUGACUGCAUGGCUGGAGUGCGGCAGAGGGGGAUGGAAUUCCGCGUGUAGCAGUGAAAUGCGUAGAUAUGCGGAGGAACACCGAUGGCGAAGGCAAUCCCCUGGGCCUGCACUGACGCUCAUGCGCGAAAGCGUGGGGAGCAAACAGG
rnacentral:rRNA from 1 species